UUGGGAGAAAAUUAGGCAAUCUUAGUCUGCCUGUUCGUAACACAGUGUUGUGCUGCCACGGACGGUAGCACAAGUCUUAAUGCCCCCGGACGGGGCGUUUAAGACGCACACGUCACUCCGAGAAACAUUAAAUCAGGCUGACUUAGACUUGCCUUAUUUUCGUA
rnacentral:ncRNA from 1 species